UACGGGGGGAGCAAGCGUUGUUCGGAUUUACUGGGCGUAAAGGGCGCGUAGGCGGUCAGCACAAGUCAGUUGUGAAAUCUCCGGGCCUAACUCGGAAAGGUCAACUGAUACUGUGCGACUAGAGUGCAGAAGGGGCAACUGGAAUUCUCGGUGUAGCGGUGAAAUGCGUAGAUAUCGAGAGGAACACCUGCGGCGAAGGCGGGUUGCUGGGCUGACACUGACGCUGAUGCGCGAAAGCCAGGGGAGCGAACGGG
rnacentral:rRNA from 1 species